rnacentral:siRNA from 1 species
GGAUGACCCGAAAGUGCUUCGAU